rnacentral:rRNA from 1 species
CAGUCGCCGCGGUAAUACGUAGGGUGCGAGCGUUGAUCGGAAUUACUGGGCGUAAAGCGGGCGCAGACGGUUACUUAAGCAGGAUGUGAAAUCCCCGGGCUCAACCUGGGAACUGCGUUCUGAACUGGGUGACUAGAGUGUGUCAGAGGGAGGUAGAAUUCCACGUGUAGCAGUGAAAUGCGUAGAGAUGUGGAGGAAUACCGAUGGCGAAGGCAGCCUCCUGGGAUAACACUGACGUUCAUGCCCGAAAGCGUGGGUAGCAAACAGGAUUAGAUACCCGCGUAGUCCCUGUCUCUUAUAC